CCGAAGGAAGCUCGGGAUUGUCCUUGUGACGACCCUUUGGUCGGUCGGUGUGAGGAUUAAGAACGCACAUAGCUGGAAGAGGUCAUUGUUGCCUUUAAUUGGAAUCGAGAUAAAGCCAGACAAACAAAGACGGGACAAGGACCGGAAUUAGAAAAUUUCGGGCCCGUGAUUCAGAGAUUAAAGUGACGGACGCCUACUUGUUCCUUGUUAAUAACCGUAUGAAUUAUUCAGAUCGGGAGGCGGGCAAAUUUAAUUGCAACUCAAAUACUCACAGUUAUGUGCAGUAAUUCCAUUGUUAGUUGAACUUAUUUACACACUCAUGGGUGAUUUUGUUGUGGACGCGUCACAACACCAGUCUUAUCUUCUCCCCCUGGAAAAAGGACAAUUAACAUUGACUGAAUUCGUGUGACAAUGAAGAACCGAACGUGCGUGCCACUGACCAAUAUUUAUAAAAAAGUCUGGUCACAAUGCAAUAGCUAUUGGAAUUCCUGACGAAUAACAAACCAAAGAUAAAGAGGUACACGCCUUGUCUGAUGUUGCAAUUUUUCCCGUGAUGGUGACUAAUGGGGUUGUUUUGGGCGAUUUGAAAAUUUGCAAAGUGGAAUCGAUUGAUUGGAAUCGCGGUUGAUGACAUAAUCACGUGCCAAAGGAGGAAAGUUCAUUGCCUUCCAUAGAUGUUUUGGCUGGAGACAAUGACAGAGGAAUUUUUGGAGAAGUGCAAAAAGUCGCUCAUUUCGAACAAAUUUUGUACAAUUAAUUUGUAAUUUAUCAAUUACAAUAAAUUUCGUUUUUGAA